GUCACACGGCACGCACGAAGCGUUACCAGUAAACAUGUUUCCAAAUCCGUUCGACAGAAAACAUUCAACAAUAAGACAAGUGUUCGACAGAUUUUUAGACGGGAACAGGAGUGUGCAUAAAAAUGCAUUGUCAAGAAAAGAUAGCAAGUGUAGCAACAAUUCGUCUUGUUCGAAUUCGUCAAAUUCGAGUCGUAAAAUUUUCGGUGGAUUUUCGAUUCGCUUCAAGUGAAUCCGUUUUUGUUCGUCGUAAACCUGGUCCGAAAUGUAUUUCGCAACUAAACUUUUGGUACGUGAAAUAAUAAACCAGGCACAGGUGAUGUCAAAGAAAAGAAAUAACGGAGAAUCGACCGUUAUGAAAAUCGGCGUCUUAAGAUACUCACCGUCAAAUAACGGUAAGGGGGACGGUAUUUAAAACCUCCUUGGUUAGGUAAGGCAUUAUGAAAUUGACUUCGACCAUGUUGGUACCAAACCGUUAUAACCGACGUUUUCUUUAAAGUGAUUACCAAAAAUGUUUGAUUAAUUGUAAUCUCAAUAUGAACGUUUUAUUAAAUAUCUGUGGAAAUUGAUAAAUAAGUAAAUAAAGCAAGGAAAAUUGUGUAUCGAAUCAGUCUGUCAGUCAGUCACUAUUUAUAAGUAAAGGACAAAACUCGAUAUGACAAACAAAUAACAAUGUAAAGUGUUAAUAAAGGUUAAUUGAAAAUGA